AGAUUGAACGCUGGCGGCAUGCCUAACACAUGCAAGUCGAACGGGAGUAGCAAUACUCUAGUGGCGGACGGGCGAGGAAUACGUAGGAAUUUGCCCUUAAGUGGGGGAUAACCCGGGGAAACCCGGAUUAAUACCGCAUGACCUCGAAAGAGCAAAGUGGGGGAUCGCAAGACCUCACGCUUUUGGAGAAGCCUACGUCGGAUUAGCUAGUUGGUGAGGUAAUGGCUCACCAAGGCGACGAUCCGUAACUGGUCUGAGAGGAUGAUCAGUCACACCGGAACUGAGACACGGUCCGGACUCCUACGGGAGGCAGCAGUGGGAAUAUUGGACAAUGGGCGAAAGCCUGAUCCAGCCAUGCCGCGUGUGUGAAGAAGGUCUUCGGAUUGUAAAGCAACUUUUAAGGUGGGAAGGUAAGGGUUGUAACCUAAGUACGUUGACUAACUUUGACGUUACCGACAGAAUAAGCACCGGCUAACUUCGUGCCA
rnacentral:rRNA from 1 species